rnacentral:rRNA from 1 species
CUCGUAGGCGGCCAACUAAGUCAGACGUGAAAUCCCUCAGCUUAACUGGGGAACUGCGUCUGAUACUGGAUGGCUUGGAUUCGGGAGAGGAAUGCGGAAUUCCAGGUGUAGCGGUGAAAUGCGUAGAUAUCUGGAGGAACACCGGUGGCGAAGGCGGCAUCCUGGACCGACAUUGACGCUGAGGAGCGAAAGCCAGGGGGCAAACG